rnacentral:rRNA from 1 species
GACGAACGCUGGCGGCGUGCUUAACACAUGCAAGUCGAGCGGUAAGGCCUUUCGGGGUACACGAGCGGCGAACGGGUGAGUAACACGUGGGUGAUCUGCCCUGCACUUCGGGAUAAGCCUGGGAAACUGGGUCUAAUACCGGAUAUGACCUCCUAUCGCAUGGUGGGUGGUGGAAAGAUUUAUCGGUGCAGGAUGGGCCCGCGGCCUAUCAGCUUGUUGGUGGGGUAAUGGCCUACCAAGGCGACGACGGGUAGCCGACCUGAGAGGGUGACCGGCCACACUGGGACUGAGAAACGGCGCAGAAUCCUACGGGAGGCAGCAGAGGGGAAUAUUGCAAAAUGGGAGAAAGCCUGAUGCAGCGACGCCGGGUGAGGGAUAAAGGCCUUCGGGUUGUAAACCUCUUUCAGCAGGGACGAAGCGCAAGUGACGGUACCUGCAGAAGAAGCACCGGCUAACUACGUG